rnacentral:snRNA from 1 species
AUACUUACCUGGCAGGGGAGAUACCAUGAUCACUAAGGUGGUUCUCCCAGGGUGAGGCUCAUCCAUUGCACUCCGGGUGUGCUGAGCCCUGCGAUUUCCCCAAAUGCAGGAAACUCAACUGCAUAAUUUGUGAUGUCUUGACUUAGGCGCCGCC